rnacentral:tRNA from 1 species
GCGGGCGUAGUUCAGUGGUAGAACACUAGCCUUCCAAGCUGGUUAUGUCGGUUCGAUCCCGAUCGCCCGCUCCA